GACGAACGCUGGCGGCGUGCCUAAUACAUGCCAGUAGAACGCACAGUUUAUACCGUAGCUUGCUACACCAUACACUGGGAGUUGCGAACGGGCGGGUAACGCGUAGGUAACCUGCCUGGCAGCGGGGGAUAACUAUUGGAAACGCUAGCUAAUACCGCAUAAUAUUAAUUAUUGCUUGAUAAUUGAUUGAAAGAUGCAAUUGCAUCACUACCAGAUGGACCUGCGUUGUAUUAGCUAGUAGGGGAGGUAACGGCUCCUCUAGGCGACGAUACAUAGCCGACCUGAGAGGGUGGACGGCCACACUGGGAAUGAGACAAGGCCCAGGACCCUACGGGAGGCAGCAGUAGGGAAACUUCGGCAAUGGACGAAAGGCUGACCGAGCAACGCCGCGGGAGGGAAGAAGGGUUUCGGAUCGUAAAGCUCUGUUGUAAGAGAAGAACGGGUGUGAGAGUGGAAAGUUCACACUGUGACGGUAUCUUACCAGAAAGGGACGGCUAACUACGUG
rnacentral:rRNA from 1 species